rnacentral:rRNA from 1 species
GAUGAACGCUGGCGGCGUGCCUAAUACAUGCAAGUCGAGCGAACAGACGAGGAGCUUGCUCCUCUGAUGUUAGCGGCGGACGGGUGAGUAACACGUGGAUAACCUACCUAUAAGACUGGGAUAACUUCGGGAAACCGGAGCUAAUACCGGAUAACAUGUUGAACCGCAUGGUUCAACAGUGAAAGACGGUCUUGCUGUCACUUAUAGAUGGAUCCGCGCCGCAUUAGCUAGUUGGUAAGGUAACGGCUUACCAAGGCAACGAUGCGUAGCCGACCUGAGAGGGUGAUCGGCCACACUGGAACUGAGACACGGUCCAGACUCCUACGGGAGGCAGCAGUAGGGAAUCUUCCGCAAUGGGCGAAAGCCUGACGGAGCAACGCCGCGUGAGUGAAGAAGGUCUUCGGAUCGUAAAACUCUGUUAUUAGGGAAGAACAAAUGUGUAAGUAACUAUGCACGUCUUGACGGUACCUAAUCAGAAAGCCACGGCUAACUACG